GGUUGUUGUCUCUUUGACACAUUCCCCAUUUCUAUUCUCAAUUUUAUUUGUAAAGAAAAUGAUAUAGAAACACUUUAAUCGACAAUAAAAUUGAGAACGGAAAUGGGGAAUGUGUUAAAGCGACAACAGCC
rnacentral:sRNA from 1 species